rnacentral:rRNA from 1 species
GAUGAACGCUGGCGGCGUGCCUAACACAUGCAAGUCGAGCGAUUCUCUUCGGAGAAGAGCGGCGGACGGGUGAGUAACGCGUGGGUAACCUGCCUCACACAGGGGGAUAACAGUUAGAAAUGACUGCUAAUACCGCAUAUGCACACAGUACCGCAUGGUACAGGGUGGAAAGAUUUAUCGGUGUGAGAUGGACCCGCGUUGGAUUAGCUAGUUAGCAGGGUAACGACCUACCAAGGCGACGAUCCAUAGCCGGCCUGAGAGGGUGAACGGCCACAUUGGGACUGAGACACGGCCCAA